rnacentral:tRNA from 1 species
GGGUAGUUAGCUCAGCAGUAGAGCAGGAGACUGAAAAUCUCCGGGUCAGUGGUUCAAAUCCACUACUGCCCACCA